UCUGUGGCCGCGACGCUCGGGCCUGGGCGGCCCCGGCUCCGGCGACCCGGGUGAAGGCGAAGCCGGCGGGCGCCCGGGCCUCACUCACCGCGGCCGCGGAGCGCGCUGGGAGCCCCGGGCCGGCCGUCCGCUUAGACCCCCCGCCCCCGCGGCGCCGGACCCACGGCUCGGGCCUCGGUCGGCUCUCCCGCGGCACGAACACCCCCAGGAGCCGGGGCGCUGGCGUCCGGACCCGGCUCGCCCCACCGUGGCCUCUGACCGCAGCCUGCGCCGCCCUGACGCCGACCGUGACCCCUGGUCCCACGCGGACGGCGCCUGGAGCCCCCGCUGACCCGCCGCCGGCCCCGGCCAUGCGCGGGAAGCUGCUGCCGCUGGCCGGGCUGUACCUGGUGCAGGGCCUGCCCUACGGGCUGCAGUCGGGGCUGCUGCCGGUGCUGCUGCGCGCCCGGGGCCUCUCGCUGACGCGCGUGGCGCUGGCCAAGGGGCUGUACGCGCCGUGGCUGCUGAAGCUGGCCUGGGCCCCGCUGGUGGACAGGCGGGGGUCCCCGCGGGCCUGGCUGACGCUCAGCACUGCCGCCCUGGGUGUGGUGUGCGGGAUGCUGGGGGCCCUGCCUCCCGCCCAGGAGGGCGCGGCCGGGCUGCCCCCCACCGUCGCGGCGCUGCUCCUGCUGCUGAAUCUGGGCGCUGCCGUGCAGGACGUGGCCCUGGACACCGUGGCUGUGCAGCUCCUGGAGCCGGCCGAGCUGGGCCCUGGCAACACGGUGCAGGUGGUGGCCUACAAGCUGGGGGCGGCGCUGGCGGGGGGUGGGCUGCUGGCCCUCGUGCCCAACCUCUCCUGGCCGCUGCUCUUUCUGCUCCUGGCAGCCACUUACCUGCUGGCUACUGGCCUGGCCUGGGCCGCACCCGCCUUGCGGCUGCCACAGCCUCAGCCUGCGGAGCCGCUGCCCUGCCGGUGGCACCUGCUGCGGGCUGUGCUGGCCGUGCCGGGGACUCUGUGGACGGCCGGCUUCGUGCUCACCUACAAGCUAGCCCUAGCUCCAGCCACAGGCCUUCAUGGCUGCCUGGUGCUGCAAUCCCUGCUGUCCCGCGUGGCUCAGGGUGGCCUGGGGGGCAGAGGCGGCGUCAGCCGGCAGCGAGCUCACACUUUCCCCUCCAGGCGAGCAGGGUGCCGGCAGCCUGUUCCCGCUGCUCCUGCUGGACCUGGGUGCCUCUGCCCCCGAGCUGGGGCUGUGGAAUGGCCUGGGCGCCGCGGCCUGCUCCAUCGCCGGCUCCUCCCUGGGCGGGGCCCUGCUGGCCAGGUACCGGCAGCCCCUGCGCCUCCUGCGGCCAGUGCUGCGGCUCCGCCUCGUGGGCCUGGCCUGCCAGACGGCCCUGCUCUUCUACCUGGACGCCGGCCUGGGACCCGGCAGGGUCCUGAGAGGGGUGGCCUUGCUGAGCCUGUGCCUGCAGCACUUCCUGGGGGGCCUGGUCACCAGCGCCACCUUCACGCUGAUGAUGCGCUGCACCCAGCAUGCGCCCAGGACCCUGCAGGCCACCCACUACAGCCUCCUGGCCACGCUGGAGCUGCUGGGGAAGCUGCUGCUGAGCACGCUGGCUGGAGCUCUGGCCGACGGCCUGGGCCUGCGACCCUGCUUCUCCCUCUUCCUUGCUCUCUCGGCCUUGCCUGUCCUCUACCUGGGCCUGGCACGCGGCGUGCUGGCCUGAGCGGGGAGGCCAGCCUGGUCAAUAAAGCCAAGUGUGCCCGGGGUCUGGCUGCUGGUGUCUGUGGGGCGUGCAGGUAUCCUCAGGCUGGGGGGCUGCCCCUGAAACCUGGCUGGAAAAAAGCUCCACAAAGGCGAAGUGAUGAGCACCUUUUAUUCUGUGUCGUGGGGCCGCCUUGGCCCACCCCGUCCCCACCAGCCCGCUUUGCCAGGGAAGUCAGUCACUCUCUGGGCUGCUGACACCCUCAGGCCUCUGCCUUGACUCCCGACCCCCACGGUGGUCAGCGGCUGCAGAGGAGCUCCUCAGUGGCCAGGCUGGUCAGGGCGUGGAAGCUCACAUGCAGCCCUGGCCCGCAGCCCCGGCCUGCACCGAUGCCGUGGAAGAUGCGGGCCACGGCCCGGCCCGAGAACCUCUCCUCAGGCCACAGGGACAGGAGCUGCCGGAUGUCACGGCGGAUCUGGUCCUCCCAGUCCUGGAGCUGAGGGCAGGUGGGCAAGUCAGGCCUUCUCUGGAGAUGGGCUGGGGCUGCCCCUGGCCCCACGUCCCCAGGGGGCUGAGCACCUGUGCCUGCAGCGGCACCUCACCGGGCCCUGGACCUCCCUGGGGUCCCAUCCCUGUGCUGGGAGGCGCCAGCACUCACCCCUGCCUGCCCUGGCUCCGAGCCCUGGCGGUCUUGCGCCCCGUCCAGCUCUAACUCUUCCUCUUCCUCAAAGUAGCGGCUGAGCAGGGCCUUGAGCCUGGUGCUGCGCUCCUCGUCAGGCUGCUCCAGGCACGGCCCGCAGCUGGGGAAGGCCACGCUGGGUGCGGGUGGUGCCGUCAGCGCUGCUGGUCUGGGGGAGUAUCCCAGGACCCCCAGGGCAGUGCCCCCACCCCAGGUACCUGCGAAAGGCCCGGAAAACCUGGUGCAGGCGGACCAAGGCCUCGCGCUCCCGGGCCUGCACGCGGCCGUGCAGGAAGUCGCAGAUCUGGUCCCGCUCACUGGCCGUCAGGUCCCCGGGGCAGCGCAGGUGGAAAGCUGGCUCCUCGAACUCCACACGUACCCCGGUGCCUGGCACGCCUGUCCUGGGCUCCCGGUCCCACGGCAGCUGGCGGAGAGCCCACCGCACGGACGCCACCUCCCAGCCCAUGCGGUCUGCCAGCUCGACCACAUCAAACUCCACAAAGCUGCUCCCUGUGUCCUCUGGCGGCUGCCGGGCCAGGCACAGGGCCAGAGGGGGGCACCUGCAGGCAGAAGGGGCAGGAGGUGUGGGCAGCGGCCUGGCCUCCCUGCCCCUGCCCCGAGACCGGGCAGGUGUGCUCACCUGUGGGCCAGGGCGCGGAGAUGGACAGGGCCCCCAGGGCAGUGCAGGCGGCACCGGGCGCAGAGGGGCGGCAGCAGCUCGAGCCAGUGCUGUGGGUGCAGCUCCAGGUAGCACAACAGCGUCUCAAUGGCUGGUGGGAGAGUAGAUCAAGGCUUCCUGCCCCCCACUCCCUGCCCUGGCUCCUAGCCCCCCGGCCCUGUGCAGAGCCUCACCCUCCUCAGGCAUGUCCAGGGCCUGCACUGUUGGCUGCACUGGGAGCGCCCGCUCGUGGCCCCGGCAGGCCCUCCGGGGGGCUGGGGCUGUGUCCUGGCUGCUGGGCUGCUCGGCCUCCUGGGGGUACGUGGUCCCCGGGGCCCUCUCCGUGCCCACCCCGCCCUCCUGCCUCAGGGGCGGCCUGGCACAGGCACAGGGCGCAAACACACGCUGCACCAGCUUCUUCACCGCGAGGAAGUCCACGGCUUCCGCGUGUGCGUGUCUGCGCAGCUCGCACAGGUCCUCGCCCUGCGGGAGGAGGGGGAGGCAGGUGGGCGUGUCCCGGGGCGGGGCGAGGCGGUGGGCGUGUCCGUCCCAGGGCGGGGCGGGGCCCACCUGCGGCCGCAGGAAGACGUGGCAGUGGGCGGGCUGCCCGUCGCGCCCCGCGCGGCCCACGGCCUGCACGUAGCUCUCGAAGCUGGGGGGCAGCCCCAGGUGCAGCACUGCCCGCACGUCCGGCCGGUCCAGCCCCAUGCCGAAGGCCACCGUGGCCACCACGACCCGCAGCCGGCCCUGCAUGAAGGCCCGCUGGACUCGGCGCCGCUCCCGGCUGCUCAUGCCCGCGUGGUAAGCUUCAGCUGCGGCCUCAGGGGUGCCACCUGGGGAAGGGAAGCCGACAGGUGGGACGGGGCCCCCGGGGAGCACAGGACCCACGGCCCACGCCCGGCCCCUCACCUCCGGGGCCCUGCAGCGGGGGCAGGCAGGUGCGCAGGAGGGCGGCCACCCGCUCCGUGUCCUCCCGCCGGUGGCAGUAGACAAUGACGGAGUCCAGGGCGCGGAAACGGUCUCCCCGCAGAAGCGUCACCAGCGCCUUGGAGGGAGGAACUGGUGAGGGCGCAGGGAGGCGGGGCCUCUGACGCGGGCCCCAGGGCGUGGCCACACCUGCUCGGGGUCCCUGUCCAUGGACACGGAGAGGUGCAGGUUGGUGGGGACAACGGCCGGGAGUCCACUGAGGCCGGGCCCUGCAGCCACGCCCAGGUGCUGGGCUACGUCCCGGGCGGUGCUCCGCGUGGCGGUGGCCGUGAGGCCCAGGAAGCAGCACACACCCAGGUGCUCCCGCAGCACCUGCCAGGAGGAGGGGCCAUGAACACGCGCCCGGCGCCCCCAGCCCUGGCCACUCCCACCCCAACCCCCGGGAGUCUCACCCUGCAGACGCGCAGAUAGCAAGGCCGGAAGUUGUGGGACCACUGGGACAGGCAGUGGGCCUCGUCCAGGCAGGCGAAGGCCACUGGGGGCAGCGGGAGGCCGGCAAGACCCCCUGCCGCAGCCCCCACCAGCGCCUCGGGGGACAGCAUCAGCACGUGGACCUUGGCUGCCUGCACCUGAGGGGACAGAGUCAGCGCAGCGGCCCCAGCGCCCCCCACCCCCAGCAGCUGAGACCCCUCACCUUCCGCAGGAUGCCCUCCCGCUGCUUUGGGGUCAUGCCUGAGUGGAUGCACGCUGCCUUCAGGCCAGGGGGCAAGCCUGCCACCUGCGGACACAGGGGCACCACCUGCCACCAGCCCUGGCCCUCUCCAGGCCCCCAUCCGCCUCCACCCCACCUCGGGGUCUGUGGGGACGAGACCCAGACCCAGAGCCCGCAGUUGUGGGACCAGGCUUCAGAGCCCUCAAGGGGGGCUGGAGACAAAGGGGCGGCUGCAGCCCCUGCCCAGGGCUGCUCGCAGACCAGCCGGGCCAGGGGCGUGCUGGGGGUGCAGCGGGGACGGGAAGCGGCUGCCAAAGGGAGGCCAGCACCUUGGGCCAGCACCGGGGCCCUGCCCUCCGCACCUGGUCGUCCAUGAGCGACAGCAGAGGGGAGACGACCAGCGUGAGGCAGGGGCUGCGCUGGGCGUACAGCAGCGCCGGGAGCUGGUAGCACAGGGACUUGCCGGCGCCAGUGGGCAGCACCAGCAGCGUGGACAGGCCUGUGGGUGGUCAGCAGCAGGGCCUGAGCACACCGCCCUGCCCCGGCCUGCCCCUGGCCCGCCCCGCAGCUCACCCGACAGGAUCCGCAUGACCGCGAGCUCCUGCCCUGGUCGGAAGGCUCGGUGCCCCAGCUGCCCCAGGGCCUGGAACACCUGCGCCGGCGUCUCUGCAAACACGGGCAUCCGGUGACCACGCACACUUGAAGCCCCGUGUUCCCGCCAUAGGCCACGAGCCACCCUGUCUGCUCACCUGCUACCUGCCCGGAGGGCCCAGGGGGGUAGAGAGGUGGAACCGAGGGGGGCAGGCGUGGCGCCUCGGGCACAGGCCACUCCACGGGCACCAGCAGUUCAGGCCCUGCAGGCCCUGGGUCGUCCUCACCAGCUAGGGAGGGCAUGACAGAGGGGGCGGGGGAGCCCUGAGCUGGGCUCGGGUCACUCUAGCAGGAUAGGCACCGGCUCCUGUCGUCCCCCACUCACCAGGGAGUUCAUGGCAGGCAAGGCCUGUUCCCUUGGCCACUUCCUCCAGCACGGACAGGGUGUCCUCAUCCUUUCUGUCUCCCUGGGGGUCCAGGGCAGGCCCUGGGCCAGGGAUGGGAAAGCUGGUGGGGCCUUUGCCUGGAGCCCCAAAAGUCCCCCCACCAGGAGCACAGCCCCCUCUCUACCCCCACCCCUGUGUUGCCCAGACACACCCCUGGGGCAGAGGCCUCACCUGGCUGGGGACACUGGGAUGCCCAGUGGCCAGACUGCCCACAGCAGAAGCAAGAUUCUUUGCCCGUGGCUCUGGGCCGGCCGCCCCCAAAACUGUCUCCUUUUUUCUGCCACUUCUGCUUCCACAUCUGGAGAUCAGAAAGGAGAUCAUGAGAACGGGGGCAGGGAGGGGCAGGGGAGGCCCUGCUGCGGCGGCUAGAGCCCUGCUACCUCACCUGCCGGCGGAGGUGGUGGCCCCGCACGUAGCGUUUCUGCUUCAGAUUGAGCCUCACGUAGUUGGCCCGGUCCCGCGGGGCUGGCCUGGAGGAAACGGGGACGGCUGGAGCAGCAGCGCCUCUGGCCCUCCCCCACCCCGGCUCAGCCCGGCGGCUGCUUGGGCGGGUGGUCAGAGCCGGUACCCGGGCGAGGCGGAGUCUCGGUGAGACGGACGCAGCUGUUCCCUCACAGGCCUCCUCGGUGAGUCGUCCUCGAGCUCUGCGGCCCCGGCUCCCUCAGGCUGGGGUGCUGCUUGGCCGCCAUCCAGGGGGGCCUGCCCGGGGAUCCCCCUCCACCUCUGCUCCUUGCUUGGCCCGUUGCUGGGCUGGGAGCUCCCUCCCUGGAUGCGGAGAGCUGGCAGGGCUGGUGCCUCUGGACCCCCUGGAAAUGCCUCAGAAGCCACACUAGGGUCAGGGGCAGCCAACAUGCCCGAGGCUGGAGGCUGGGACUCCCGCCCCAGGCCAGGCCCACAGGCCUCAGGGGUCUCCAGCAAAUCUGGGGCCCCAUUGUGACACCGCUGCAGCCAGCUGGGGUCUAAGGAGCUCAGACGCAGACUCAGAGACGAGCGCAGCUGCUGGGGCCGGCCGGGCCUCGGUCGGGGUCCCAGAGGCUGCGGGGCUGCCCCGCCGAGUCCUUUCGGGGAGGUGGGGGCAGCCGCUGUGUCUGGCGGACCCUGGGUGCAUCCGCCCGGGC